rnacentral:rRNA from 1 species
UACGAAGGGGGCUAGCGUUACUCGGAUUGACUGGGCGUAAAGGGCGCGUAGGCGGAUGGUACAGUCAGACGUGAAAUUCCUGGGCUCAACCUGGGGGCUGCGUUUGAUACGUGCUGUCUGGAGUUCGGAAGAGGGUCGUGGAAUUCCCAGUGUAGAGGUGAAAUUCGUAGAUAUUGGGAAGAACACCGGUGGCGAAGGCGGGUCUCUGGGCCGAUACUGACGCUGAGGAGCGAAAGCGUGGGGAGCAAACAGG